UUGACCUCUGACCUCAAAUCAGGUAGGGUUACCCGCUGAACUUAAGCAUAUCAAUAAGCGGAGGAAAAGAAACUAACAAGGAUUCCCCUAGUAACUGCGAGUGAAGCGGGAAAAGCUCAAAUUUAAAAUCUGGCAGUCUUUGGCUGUCCGAGUUGUAGUCUGGAGAAGUGCUUUCCGUGCUGGACCGUGUACAAGUCUCUUGGAACAGAGCGUCAUAGAGGGUGAGAAUCCCGUCUUUGACACGGACUACCAGUGCUUUGUGAUGCGCUCUCAAAGAGUCGAGUUGUUUGGGAAUGCAGCUCAAAAUGGGUGGUGAAUUCCAUCUAAAGCUAAAUAUUGGCGAGAGACCGAUAGCGAACAAGUACCGUGAGGGAAAGAUGAAAAGCACUUUGGAAAGAGAGUUAAACAGUACGUGAAAUUGCUGAAAGGGAAACGCUUGAAGUCAGUCGCGUUGGCCAGGACUCAGCCUUGCUUUUUUGCUUGGUGCAUUUUCUGGUUGACGGGUCAGCAUCAGUUUUGAUUGUCGGAAAAAGGUUGGAGGAAUGUGGCACCUUCGGGUGUGUUAUAGCCUCUGGUCACAUACGACGGUUAGGACUGAGGAUAUCAGCACGCCUUUAUGGCCGGGGUUCGCCCACGUUCGUGCUUAGGAUGCUGGCAUAAUGGCUUUAAGCGACCCGUCUUGAAACACGGACCAAGGAGUCUAACAUACCUGCGAGUGUUUGGGUGGAAAACCCGAGCGCGUAAUGAAAGUGAAAGUUGAGAUCCCUGUUGUGGGGAGCAUCGACGCCCGGACCUGACGUUCUCUGAUGGAUCCGCGGUAGAGCAUGUAUGCUGGGACCCGAAAGAUGGUGAACUAUGCCUGAAUAGGGUGAAGCCAGAGGAAAC
rnacentral:rRNA from 3 species